CAACAAACAUCGAUCUGUGCCUUUACAGACGGUACAGAGCGGAACAUUUUCUUUUUCACGCAAUAUAAUCUUUUUUCCUUGGAAACAAAUUAAAAACUUACUGACCAUCCGCGUUGGCAGAAUGAAUUUGUUUUUUUCCAUAUUUGGUUUCUUUGUUGAUUGGGAUUUAAAGAGUCUGCUGCUGUUUGCAGUUGUUUUCAUCAUCACUGCGGAUUAUGUUAAAAACCGUCGACCACUUGGCUUCCCUCCAGGACCCAGAGCUCUACCAAUUGUGGGAAACAUAUUUACAUGGGACCAAAACAGGCCCCAUGAGAAGCUGAUUGAGUUGGCAAGGACUUAUGGAGAUGUAUACAGUCUAAGAUUUGGUCAGCAAUGGGUAGUGGUGUUAAAUGGAUUUGAUGCUAUGAAGGAGGGUUUGGUUGUAAAUGGAGACAGCAUGGUGGACCGCCCAGUUCUUGCUUUGCAGGACGAAAUAACAGGCGGAUUAGGUGUUAUAUUCAGUAAUGGAAACAUCUGGAAACAGCAGAGACGCUUUGCUCUUUCAACCCUCAAAUACUUUGGGUUCGGGAAGAAGUCUCUUGAGCCUGUCAUCCUGGAUGAAUUCACACAUUGCGCGGAAGAGAUCCGAGCCUAUAAAGGAAAGCCUGUCAAUCCACAUCUCAUCAUCAACAAUGCCGUUUCCAACAUCAUCUGCCAACUGGUCUUUGGUCACCGCUUUGAGUACGGGGAUGAGAAGUUCAUGAAACUGAUGCUGCUGUUUGACCAGGCACUCCAUAUUCAAACUUCUACUUGGGCACAGCUCUACAAUUCCUUUAAUCUGCUGAUGAGAUUGUUGCCAGGUCCACAUCAGACCGUCAAACAGAUCUGGUACGAUGUGAAGAAGUUCAUACGAGAAGAGCUGAACCAGCACAAGAAGAACUGGGAUCCUUCAAACAGCAAAGAUUACAUUGACUGCUACCUGCAGGAGAUUGAAACGAAUAAAGCGCAGAAUGACAACACAUUUGAUGAAGAAAAUUUGAUCAUGUGUGUCCUGGAUCUGUUUGUGGCUGGAUCAGAAACCACAUCCACCACCCUGAGAUGGGCAUUUCUCUUCAUGGCUAAACACCCUGAAAUCCAAGAAAAGGUCCAAGCAGAGAUAGACAGAGUAAUUGGACAGUCCAGACAGCCGUCUAUGGAGGAUCGUGCCAACCUUCCCUACACAGAUGCCGUAAUCCACGAGAUCCUUAGGAUGGGCAACAUAACCCCUCUUGCCUUGCCACACUCUACCAACAAAGAAGUCCAGCUAGGAGGUUACACCAUCCCAAAGGAAGUGCUGAUAAUCCCAAAUAUAGCUUCAGUGCUGUUUGAUAGGAAAGAAUGGGAAACACCUUUCACCUUUAACCCGGCACACUUCCUGAAUGAGAAGGGCAAGUUUGCAAAAAAAACAUCUUUCAUCCCUUUCUCUGCUGGAAAGCGCCUGUGUCUGGGAGAAAACCUGGCCAGGAUGGAACUUUUCCUCUUUUUCACGUCCUUCCUGCAGCACUUCACUUUCUUAAUGCCGGCUGGAGUAAAAGUUGUGAUGGAUUACCGUGCAGGCGUCACUCUGGCACCAAAACCAUAUGAAAUCUGCAUAACACCACGCUAAGACCAACAUUUUCAUUAUUUUAAAGAAACGCAGGAGCAAAAAAACAUACCUGCCAUGCGUUUCUGACCACAAACAUCUCUACACGAGUCAGGUGGAGAGUAACCAAUUUCUGCUGUUUAAAUGCAUACUGUGAAAAAUUUUUUUUUUUCAAUUGUGAACACUUCUACAUCAUCCCAAUGAUUUGGUGUUCAUCAUUCAACAAACAGGAACAAUGACUGACAUACUGAAAAUCAAAAAAAACAUUUUUAAUCUUUCAAUGUGUGAAUGCAAAUUCCUCCAGAAUUGGGAGAAAAUGCAAAACAAACCAAUAACUACACCUAGGCUUUUAGAGGCCACAAACAAGUUUUCAGUUAAAAAAUAAUAAAAACAGAUGUUUAAUGAUUGUAUAGGUAGAAAACCAAAAAAAAAAAAAAAAAGAACAUGUAUGUUUCAGAGAGAGAAGAUCUAAAGUGAAGGAGAACCACGUCAGCAUUUUUCAGAGAAAUUAAUAGGAACAUGGCAGUACAGAAAAGGUUUGCAUAGCUGCUUCACUGCAACAAAUCGAAAGGAAUCAACAUUCAUUAAUUAUUCCUAUUAAUAAAGUGUAUUUUGCUUAUUUUGGUUUUGCAGUUUUAAAUUGCUUGCUUGUUGUGAUUUGAUGCUCUUCUGUUCUCCUCCCAGAAGAUAUCAAAAAUGUACUUGCUUUACUUUGAACUGAAUCCACUACUUUACUGCAUCAACAUCUGUUCUCCAUUUCAUUUUAUUCUAAUUUAUUGUAUUUAAUUUAAUUUUAGUUUAUGUUUUAAGCUUUGUUCAGGGUAAUUCAUGGUGCUUUAAAAGAAAAACAGGCAAUAAGACUCAUUAGAAACACAUAAUGCUUUGGAAAUUUUGAUUUUAGAAAAUAAAACUUUAAGUGCCAUAUAGAAGUAACAUUAUGUGGAAAUAUAAACACAUAAUAAAUGGUACUAAUUAUGGUCCAGGAAACACUGAGUGAGCAGUGUUUCCUGGAUCUACUUUUUUUUUUACCUGACCAGUACCUCUGAAAUAUAUUUAGGCCAAAAUGCCUUAAGUGUUUUGUAAUCCAUUGAAACAAUUUCACAUUCUAUCCAUUUACAAAUCCUGAGCAAGCUCAUUCUUUUCAGUCCUCUUUUUUUUGCCUUUAACUUUUCAUGCAAAAACAAUGAGACUAGCACAACAUGCUGGCUCUGUCCAGCAUGUAUUGUGUAAUACCACCAACGGAUGAAUACAUAUAGAUUUGGCCCAGCUCUGAAUUAGCAAAAUGACCUAAAAUGGUGUGUUUUAGACCCAGCAGUCUAAAAAAACUGCAUAUGUUGCCAUGGUUACUGACCCUGGUAAGUGAAGCAGCUUCAAGAUUGCUUUUAUUGAAAUUCCCAAACUGAUUCAGACUGACUCACUAAACCUGCUACAUCCCCCUCAAUAAGAGCCGGAUGUUUUUAGUAUGGUCUCAUAUUAUUAUUUUAGCCCUGAAAGAGUGAAUACUUGCUACCUAUACCCUUUUCCAUACCUAAAAGCAUGUAUUGAAAAGCAUACUUUGGCCCUUUUUGCAAAAAAAUCUGCAACAGCCAAAAUUAUCCUUGGUAAUCUAUUUAGGCAAUUACUGCCAAAUAAACCAAUUUUCACCUAAAUGAAGUGCUUAUAAAUCCCAACCAUCCAAGUAUGGAAUAACACAAAUUCAGCACUGUUGGUCAUUCGAAUGAAGCCCAAAAUUAUACCAGUUCUGUUUGUCCAGUGUAUGCCCAUUAAUGAAAGUGGAAAUGCACCAUAGAUUUAGUCAGAUUAAUAAAAUAUUGAUUACAAAAGCAAGCAAGACCACUAAAUGACUAAAUGAGGAGGAACUGUUGACAAUAUGUGUUUAUUUUUGAACUGGUCAUUACAGCCUGGAGAGAUUCCACAUGAUGUCACUGUGAUGAAUAUUCUGCAGUCCAUGAAUGUCUAAACAGAUAUUUGCAAACUCUCUUUUGACAUCGCAUAAUAGAGAAGUACUUGCUUGAAUUGACCAUGAGUUACUAAUUAUGUUGCUCAACAGCACAGAGUGCGAAGAUGUUUUGCUUCCCAUUUAAACAACGGAAGGUACAGACCUGAUUCCAGGUGUUUGUUAUCUGCUGAUUUGACUUAAAUCCCUGUGAUUUACACUUGAAUUGAUCUUAAUUUAUUUGUACUUGUUGCAACUUUUUUCUGAAAAGAUAAGAUUAUCCUAGUUACAAGCCUGUUUUUGCAAUUUUUAACAGAAAAAAUGUCAAACGGAUGUAUGCCAAGAUCAUAAAAUCCCUUCUCUGCAGAAAAGCUUGCAGACAAAUGCACGAUUUCCUAAAACCUCCUGGUGGCUCUGUGUUCCUUAUAAGAAGGUAUGUUUACUACAGCAAAUUUGUUAAAUAAGUAUACAUCCCACAAAAGUGGUUGUAAGUUAUGAGACUCAGCACUGUCUGACGAAGUUCAUGUGUGUGUUCUAAAGAAAAAAAAGACCCAUUUCAAACAAGAUGUUGUCCAGUUUUCAAUUUCUUCAGCCUCAGUGAGAGAAAAGAGCUUCAGCACAAACUCACAGGAUGCAGAAGUUAGUUCUGGGGUCUGGAUUUCUCCUUCUUCUGACAGUCCUAUAUCUGCUUAUAAUGAGGACGAGACUCCAGAUUCAGUCCAAUCAGUCUUCGCCAAAAAAAC